AUUGAACGCUGGCGGCAGGCCUAACACAUGCAAGUCGAGCGGCAGCGGAAAGUAGCUUGCUACUUUGCCGGCGAGCGGCGGACGGGUGAGUAAUGUCUGGGAAACUGCCUGAUGGAGGGGGAUAACUACUGGAAACGGUAGCUAAUACCGCAUGACCUCGAAAGAGCAAAGUGGGGGAUCUUCGGACCUCACGCCAUCGGAUGUGCCCAGAUGGGAUUAGCUAGUAGGUGAGGUAAUGGCUCACCUAGGCGACGAUCCCUAGCUGGUCUGAGAGGAUGACCAGCCACACUGGAACUGAGACACGGUCCAGACUCCUACGGGAGGCAGCAGUGGGGAAUAUUGCACAAUGGGCGCAAGCCUGAUGCAGCCAUGCCGCGUGUGUGAAGAAGGCCUUAGGGUUGUAAAGCACUUUCAGCGAGGAGGAAGGCAUCAUACUUAAUACGUGUGGUGAU
rnacentral:rRNA from 1 species